UUUAUCAGAUGAUGAUAAAAAAAAAAAAAAAUCUUAGGACACCUUCUUACAUGGCUACAAAGCUGUGGAUGAGAGAGAGUGAAUUAUGAUGAUGAU
rnacentral:snoRNA from 1 species